rnacentral:rRNA from 1 species
AAAUUGAAGAGUUUGAUCAUGGCUCAGAUUGAACGCUGGCGGCAGGCCUAACACAUGCAAGUCGAACGGUAACAGGAAACAGCUUGCUGUUUCGCUGACGAGUGGCGGACGGGUGAGUAAUGUCUGGGAAACUGCCUGAUGGAGGGGGAUAACUACUGGAAACGGUAGCUAAUACCGCAUAAUGUCGCAAGACCAAAGAGGGGGACCUUCGGGCCUCUUACCAUUGGAUGUGCCCAGAUGGGAUUAGCUAGUAGGUGGGGUAACGGCUCACCUAGGCGACGAUCCCUAGCUGGUCUGAGAGGAUGACCAGCCACACUGGAACUGAGACACGGUCCAGACUCCUACGGGAGGCAGCAGUGGGGAAUAUUGCACAAUGGGCGCAAGCCUGAUGCAGCCAUGCCGCGUGUAUGAAGAAGGCCUUCGGGUUGUAAAGUACUUUCAGCGGGGAGGAAGGGAGUAAAGUUAAUACCUUUGCUCAUUGACGUUACCCGCAGAAGAAGCACCGGCUAACUCCGUGCCAGCAGCCGCGGUAAUACGGAGGGUGCAAGCGUUAAUCGGAAUUACUGGGCGUAAAGCGCACGCAGGCGGUUUGUUAAGUCAGAUGUGAAAUCCCCGGGCUCAACCUGGGAACUGCAUCUGAUACUGGCAAGCUUGAGUCUCGUAGAGGGGGGUAGAAUUCCAGGUGUAGCGGUGAAAUGCGUAGAGAUCUGGAGGAAUACCGGUGGCGAAGGCGGCCCCCUGGACGAAGACUGACGCUCAGGUGCGAAAGCGUGGGGAGCAAACAGGAUUAGAUACCCUGGUAGUCCACGCCGUAAACGAUGUCGACUUGGAGGUUGUGCCCUUGAGGCGUGGCUUCCGGAGCUAACGCGUUAAGUCGACCGCCUGGGGAGUACGGCCGCAAGGUUAAAACUCAAAUGAAUUGACGGGGGCCCGCACAAGCGGUGGAGCAUGUGGUUUAAUUCGAUGCAACGCGAAGAACCUUACCUGGUCUUGACAUCCACAGAACCCUGUAGAGAUACGGGGGUGCCUUCGGGAACUGUGAGACAGGUGCUGCAUGGCUGUCGUCAGCUCGUGUUGUGAAAUGUUGGGUUAAGUCCCGCAACGAGCGCAACCCUUAUCCUUUGUUGCCAGCGGUCCGGCCGGGAACUCAAAGGAGACUGCCAGUGAUAAACUGGAGGAAGGUGGGGAUGACGUCAAGUCAUCAUGGCCCUUACGACCAGGGCUACACACGUGCUACAAUGGCGCAUACAAAGAGAAGCGACCUCGCGAGAGCAAGCGGACCUCAUAAAGUGCGUCGUAGUCCGGAUUGGAGUCUGCAACUCGACUCCAUGAAGUCGGAAUCGCUAGUAAUCGUGGAUCAGAAUGCCACGGUGAAUACGUUCCCGGGCCUUGUACACACCGCCCGUCACACCAUGGGAGUGGGUUGCAAAAGAAGUAGGUAGCUUAACCUUCGGGAGGGCGCUUACCACUUUGUGAUUCAUGACUGGGGUGAAGUCGUAACAAGGUAACCGUAGGGGAACCUGCGGUUGGAUCACCUCCUUACCUUAAAGAAGC